rnacentral:rRNA from 1 species
GGAGUACGGUCGCAAGACUGAAACUCAAAGGAAUUGACGGGGGCCCGCACAAGCGGUGGAGUAUGUGGUUUAAUUCGACGCAACGCGAAGAACCUUACCAGGGCUUGACAUUGAGUGAAAGGCCAAGAGAUUGGUCCCUCUCUUCGGAGACACGAAAACAGGUGGUGCAUGGCUGUCGUCAGCUCCGUGUCGUGAGAUGUUGGGUUAAGUCCCGCAACGAGCGCAACCCCUAUCAUUUGUUGCCAGCACGUCAAGGUGGGAACUCAAAUGAGACUGCCGCGGACAACGCGGAGGAAGGCGGGGAUGACGUCAAGUCAUCAUGCCCCUUAUGUCCUGGGCUACACACGUACUACAAUGGGAUGGACAGAGAGCAGCGACCCCGCGAGGGCAAGCGAACCCCAUAAACCAUCUCCCAGUUCGGAUUGCAGGCUGCAACCCGCCUGCAUGAAGUCGGAAUCGCUAGUAAUCGCUGGUCAGCAUACAGCGGUGAAUACGUUCCCGGGCCUUGUACACACCGCCCGUCACACCACGGAAGUCAUUCACACCCAAAGCCGGUGGGGGAACCGCAAGGGCCUAGCCGUCUAAGGUGGGGGCGAUGACUGGGGUGAAGUCGUAACAAGGUAGCCGUAA